GUGGGGAAUUUUGGACAAUGGGCGCAAGCCUGAUCCAGCAAUGCCGCGUGCAGGAAGAAGGCCUUUUGGUUGUAAAGCACUUUAAGCGAGGAGGAGGCUACCGAGAUUAAUACUCUUGGAUAGUGGACGUUACUCGCAGAAUAAGCACCGGCUAACUCUGUGCCAGCAGCCGCGGUAAUACAGAGGGUGCAAGCGUUAAUCGGAUUUACUGGGCGUAAAGCGCGCGUAGGUGGCCAAUUAAGUCAAAUGUGAAAUCCCCGAGCUUAACUUGGGAAUUGCAUUCGAUACUGGUUGGCUAGAGUAUGGGAGAGGAUGGUAGAAUUCCAGGUGUAGCGGUGAAAUGCGUAGAGAUCUGGAGGAAUACCGAUGGCGAAGGCAGCCAUCUGGCCUAAUACUGACACUGAGGUGCGAAAGCAUGGGGAGCAAACAGGAUUAGAAACCCGAGUAGUCC
rnacentral:rRNA from 1 species